UACGUAGGGGGGCAAGCGUUGUCCGGAUUUAUUGGGCGUAAAGAGCGUGUAGGCGGCUUUACAGGUCCGUUGUGAAAACUCGAGGCUCAACCUCGAGACGCCGGUGGAAACCGUAAAGCUAGAGUCCGGAAGAGGCAAGUGGAAUUCCCGGUGUAGCGGUGAAAUGCGCAGAUAUCGGGAGGAACACCAAUGGCGAAGGCAGCUUGCUGGGACGGUACUGACGCUGAAGCGCGAAAGCGUGGGGAGCAAACAGG
rnacentral:rRNA from 1 species